AUGAAGCCGUCCUGGCUGCAGCGUCGCAAAGUCACCGGAGCCAGGGGACUCGGGGGGUCCCUGCCUGGGUCCUCUCCGGCCCAGGGAGCCGGCCCGGCCCACAGGGCGUACGUGGCCCCCGGCCCGCGGGGCACUCUCGGGGGCCGGGGCUGCCGAGUGCUGUCGUCUGCCGGUGGUGGCGGCGAGUACAAGCCCCACUUCGCGGCCUAGGUGGCCGACCCCGAGCGGUUUUGGGGCAAAGCGGCCGAGCAGAUCAGCUGGUACAAGCCCUGGACCAAAAUGCUGGAGAACAGAUACCCACCUUCCACGAGUUGGUUUGUGGAAGGAAUGCUUAACAUUUGUUACAAUGCCAUCGAUCGUCAUAUUGUAAAAUGGUCAAGGAGAUAAGAUUGCUAUCAUCUACGACCGUCCUGUUACAAACACUAAAGCAACUAUUACCUACAAAGAGGUUCUGGAGCAGGUCUCUAAGCUGGCAGGUGUUUUGGUCAAGCAUGGUGUCAAGAAAGGUGACACCAUGGUUAUCUACAUGCCCAUGAUCCUGCAAGCGAUGUAUACCAUGCUGGCAUGGGCAAGGAUAAGAGCCAUCCACAGUCUCAUAUUUGGGGGAUUUGCAUCCAAAGAACUAAGCAGUCGUAUUGAUCAUGCAAAGCCCAAGGUGGUUGUUACAGCAUCAUUUGGGAUUGAACCUGGAAGAGUAGAAUACAUUCCCCUUCUAGAAGAAGCACUGAGACUGGGACAACACAAACCAGAUAACGUGCUCAUUUAUAAUCGUCCAAAUAUGGAGGCAGUUCCUUUGGCUCCAGGUCGUGACCUUGAUUGGCAUGAAGAGAUGGCCAAAGCACAGUCACAUGACUGUGUUCCUGUUCUUUCAGAACACCCGCUGUAUAUUCUUUACACAUCCGGAACAACAGGGCUGCCCAAGGGUGUUGUUAGACCCACUGGGGGAUAUGCUGUGAUGCUAAACUGGAUAAUGUCUUCUAUCUAUGGACAUAAACCUGGAGAGGUGUGGUGGGCAGCCUCUGACUUAGGCUGGUUUGUUGGUCAUUCCUAUAUCUGUUAUGGACUUCUUCUGCAUGGGAACAUGACAGUCCUAUAUGAGGGGAAGCCUGUGGGAACACCAGAUGCUGGUGCUUAUUUCCGCGUGCUCGCGGAGCAUGGAGUAGCUGCCUUGUUUAUAGCGCCGACUGCAAUUAGAACCAUCUGUCAACAGGACCCUGGGGCAGCCUUGGGGAAGCCGUACUCUCUGACAAGGUUCAAAACAUUAUUUAUGGUUGGAGAACGAUGUGAUGUGGAGACCCUGGAAUGGUCCAAAAAGGUCUUCAGAGUACCUGUCUUAGACCACUGGUGGCGGACUGAGACUGGAUCCCCAAUUACGGCAUCAUGCAUUGGAUUAGGUAAUUCUAAAACACCUCCUCCAGGACAAGCAGGAAAAAGUGUUCCAGGAUACAAUGUUAUGAUUUUGGAUGACAACAUGCAAAAACUGAAGGCUCGAUGUUUAGGAAAUAUUGUGGUAAGUUGCCAUUACCACCUGGGGCUUUUUCAGGACUCUGGAAGAAUCAGGAAGCAUUCAAGCAUUUAUACUUUGAAAAAUUUCCUGGAUACUAUGACACCAUGGAUGCUGGUUACAUGGAUGAAGAAGGCUAUUUAUAUAUUAUGUCUCGAGUUGAUGAUGUGAUAAAUGUUGCAGGUCACAGGAUUUCUGCAGGUGCUAUUGAAGAGUCAGUCGUUUCCCAUGGUACUGUGGCCGACUGUGCUGUUGUCGGCAAGGAAGAUCCUUUGAAAGGUCAUGUGCCCUUAGCCCUCUGUGUGUUGAGAAAAGAUAUAAAUACAACAGAGGAACAAGUUUUGGAAGAGAUUAUAAACCAUGUGAGACAGAGCAUUGGCCCUGUGGCUGCGUUUCGAAAUGCAGUGUUUGUCAAACAUUUACCCAAAACGAGGGCUGGCAAAAUUCCUCGGUGGGCUCUGUCUGCCCUUGUCCACGGCAAGCCCUAUAACACCUACAAUCAAAGACCCCGAGCAUUUUUGGGCACACAGAAGAAGUGCUGAAGCAGUCAUCAUGA